GAGACACAGCCUCCUUGGCAGUCCUGACCCCUGAGCUAGCAGAACACCCCAGAUUCCCCAGAGCCCAGCACGGACAGAUAUUCAGGCUGCCCAGUUCGCCCCACAUGCCACAGCUCACCAAGCUCCAUGUAACUAUACCAUCCCAACUCUCAGCUUCCACUGCUGCCCUUCCCCACAGCUACAAGGCCAUCACGCAAGGUCCCCAUAUUCCAGGGGAGAUAAAACAGUAAACGGAAACCAAACCUGCCUGAGAGACAAGGAUGGCAAGAGUUGGAAUUGCUUUCCUCAAAAGUUUUCUGAACCCUGGUGCUGUUUCAGUCAGUGGAAGUGAAUUGUGCCUGUGACUGAGCCCAAAGCCUCACCAAUGCCAGGCAAGCCCUCUGCCUCAGAGCCAUGACGUCACUCCAUCGUACAACUGAACAACAUUUUGCUGAAUAGAGAGAGCACUCUUUGCUUCUCUGUGCAUCUGCCGUUUGACAUCUGUAUUGCACUGGAGAUUAAGGAGUCGCUGCUGUGAACACUCAUGGUCGAGUUUUUGUACAGACAUAUUUCUAAUCUCUUUUAAUCUUUAAAUAAAAUAUAAAAUUUAGUUUGCUCA